CCUUCGAUAGCUCAGUUGGUAGAGCGGUGGACUGUAGAAGCAUGAUGUGUCGAUAGAGAGUAAUCCAUAGGUCACUGGUUCAAAUCCGGUUCGAAGGA
rnacentral:tRNA from 1 species